CCAAACUUGGUCAUUUAGAGGAAGUAAAAGUCGUAACAAGGUUUCCGUAGGUGAACCUGCGGAAGGAUCAUUAUUGAACUAUGUUUUCUCAACUGGUUGUCGCUGGCUCUUUGGAGCAUGUGCACGCCUGUUUGGGACUUCAUUUUCAUCCACCUGUGCACCUUUGUAGUCUCUGGAGGGGGAGUUGGGAAAUGGGGUGGUCAAGUUCUCGGUGUUUCUCGAAGCACCGGAAUAAUGAGGACUUGCAGUGCAGAUGAAGUGCUGCUGUCUUUGGCUUGGCCAUGACGGCUCUCUCUCCCCUUUGAUCUCAGAGUCUAUGUUCAUUCAUACACCCUGUAAAAAUGUCUUUGAAUGUCCUUACAUGGGCUUCUUGCCUAUGAUAAAAUAAUAUACAACUUUCAGCAACGGAUCUCUUGGCUCUCGCAUCGAUGAAGAACGCAGC
rnacentral:misc_RNA from 1 species